CAGACGGGUGGCUGCAGUGGGGAAUAUUGGACAAUGGGGGCAACCCUGAUCCAGCCAUGCCGCGUGUGUGAAGAAGGCCCUCGGGUUGUAAAGCACUUUCAGUGGGGAAGAACGCCUGGAGGUUAAUACCCAUCAGGAAAGACAUCACUCACAGAAGAAGCACCGGCUAACUCCGUGCCAGCAGCCGCGGUAAUACGGAGGGUGCGAGCGUUAAUCGGAAUUACUGGGCGUAAAGCGCGCGUAGGUGGCUUGAUAAGCCGGUUGUGAAAGCCCCGGGCUCAACCUGGGAACGGCAUCCGGAACUGGCAGGCUAGAGUGCAGUAGAGGAAGGUAGAAUUCCCGGUGUAGCGGUGAAAUGCGUAGAGAUCGGGAGGAAUACCGGUGGCGAAGGCGGCCCUCUGGACGGACACUGACGCUGAGGUGCGAAAGCGUGGGGAGCAAACAGGAUUAGAUACCCCAGUAGUC
rnacentral:rRNA from 1 species